UGUCCCAGGACUGACUCUCCUGUCUGGGUGAGCUCCAAGUGGAGUCCAAUUUCACGGUGUGGAACUGGCCCUACAAGGCUGCCCCGGGGGCCCUCACAGCACGGGCACGCUGCCCAUCAGUUCCCAUGACAGACGACACCCACACCCUGCAGAGAGCUGCACCACAGCCUUGAAAAUAUGCCAGGAAAAUUUGCCAGGGCUGCUGAACCUUCCAUAGGAAGUAACAUUAUGAUGCAUUCGUCAGAAAACCAGCUUUGAGAGGAAUACCAUUUGUACUGCAGUUUUAGAAGAAAAAACAUCUACACUUUGAAGCACGAGGGAACAAUUGAGGUCUCACGGAAGCUAUCAAGUAGCUCCCUGCACUGUGAUCAUUGCCCAGAGAGAGAAUGUGGGGUUUUGAGAAAUUUCCUUCACACGGACAUACGAAGUCUAUGUUGGAGUAUUUAUUAUCGAGAGCAAGUUGGAAGCUCAGUGCUCAUUAAUCAUAUGUGGACUGUCUGACUUGAUGGAUUUGAAGAAGCUCAACAUAUUUAGAGGAAAUCAUGUUCAUAGCAAAGCAUUUCUUAACCAUUUCAAGAGGAAAUAAAAAAUAAUGAACUGCAAGACUGAUUUAACUUAAUGUAAGGCUGAAACUACUAUAUACGUGGAACACUUGUUAUUUUUUCAUUAUGCUAAAAUGUCCAUGUGAUUACUUUCCUAUUUGUAAUUAAUACAGGGCUACGUUUUUAAUUAUUUUAAUAUACCCAGCUAUUUUUAAAGAUAACUUGUGAUUAUAGUACUGGACUAUUUAAAAAUGUUUAAUUAAUAUGUAUAUAACAUUUUGUAAUUGUGAGAGUACAUUAUCUUAUAGAAUCCAAAUAACCAUCUCAGUGGUAGAUCGUUCUAUUAUUGCAGUUAUUCACAUAAAAAAAAAAAACCAGCAAGAGUAAGUAGAUGAAUACAAAUUUGUGUUCCCUAACUACAAAUUCCCCUUCUCUAUUUACUUCUUUUUCUGUUUUUUUGUUUACAUAGAGUACUUUUUAUAAUAUUUUUUGUUACUUAUCUUACUUGAUAUACCCAGACCUUGAACAUGAAAAGAAACUUGCUAGAAGUUUACGUGAUGUAAAAGUUUGCUUUUCACUAACUUCAUCACUUAAUAAUAUAGAUAUGAAUAGGGAUAUUUGUUCAGAAAGCUGAUGCAGUGCUUUUGUAGGUGCUUUUAAAACUAGGAAAUUUGUUUUAAAUAUAAACACAUAAUGCUUCACUUUUGAGUCAUGAAGAGGAGCUGAAAUUCAAUAUCCUAUUUUUAUAUAUUUAAAUUUAUAUGUAAUGCUUACCGAACUUGAGUACUUUCUAAAGGCUUAUUUAUAUGUUGCAUUUUACUCCACUAUUUUAAAGGCUCAUGUACAAUGAAGUUAUAAAUAAUAGAUGUGUAUCCCAACCCCCCUACUCUGCCUCCUGCAAAAGAUGAUAAAAGAAACAUAUUUAUUUACAUUGAUUUUUUUUCUCCGUUAUACUGUCGGAAAAGAUUAAAUUACACUUCAAAAUUACUCAGCCUUCCUCAGAGUGUAUUUUUAAGUCAUGCCAAAGUCAUAAUUAAAAGUGAUUUUUUAAACAAGUAACGAA